rnacentral:rRNA from 1 species
CUUACCAAGGCUUGACAUACACCGGAAACGUCCAGAGAUGGGCGCCCCCUUGUGGUCGGUGUACAGGUGGUGCAUGGCUGUCGUCAGCUCGUGUCGUGAGAUGUUGGGUUAAGUCCCGCAACGAGCGCAACCCUUGUCCUGUGUUGCCAGCAGGCCCUUGUGGUGGUGGGGACUCACGGGAGACCGCCGGGGUCAACUCGGAGGAAGGUGGGGACGACGUCAAGUCAUCAUGCCCCUUAUGUCUUGGGCUGCACACGUGCUACAAUGGCCGGUACAAUGAGUUGCGAUACCGCGAGGUGGAGCGAAUCUCAAAGAGCCGGUCUCAGUUCGGAUUGGGGUCUGCAACUCGACCCCAUGAAGUCGGAGUCGCUAGUAAUCGCAGAUCAG